UGCUUUCUAGGGUGCUUUUCACUGAACGCUUGAGGAAGGAAAUGUGUUCUGGGAAAUUCUGGUAGCGUUAUAUUUGAAGAAAAGUUUUGAAAGAGCAAACUGACUUUGUCUCUUUCACAGGGUUUCUGGUAUUACCAGAGAUUUCAACACGCAGAUAAAAAUGGAGAGAAAUACUCCAUGAGCCUCCUAGGAUAUUUGCCCAAAGUUGCAAGGUUUCAGCAAUUCUAACUUCCAAACAGACUACCUCAACAGAGCCAUCUCCUUUCUGCUGAGUAACUUAUGUUAAAUGGGUACUACUUCUGGGCACUCAGUCCAUGCCUCCUGGCACCAUCUGACAACCCGGCCCUCCUGCCGGGUGCUGCACCCAAACAUCCAGCAGCUUUCUCCUAGUGUCUUGCCCACAGUCCCAGACAACAGAAAGGCAAUAAAGAGAUCCAGAAAUAUUUUCUUCUAUGCCAGUCCGCUCCCUACUUUUGCAUGUGCUGAAAUUUCACUUCUCUGUCUGCAACAUUCAUGAAAGUAAUAAAAUUGCUGCUGACUCUGGAGGUCUCCAAGAGUCACUGCAGGCACAAACUGUCCUUGCGGCAUCUUGUAUGGAAAAGGGGCUCUUCCAGGCAGCUCUUCAUGGCACUCCAUUUCAUAACCCAAACCUAAGUAAUGCUGCGUCUUUGCCAGUGUCUCUGUUUAAAUGGUUGAGACUGGCAAGUGUUUGAUGCAAAAAAUACUUCUGCAUGAACAAAUGUUAUUUUCUUUAUGAGGACUAGACUGACAUGAGCUUCUGAGAAGUAAACAGAGAGAAAUGUACAGACAAGACGAAUGGGUGGAUGAUAAAAUUGGUCCUUUACUCUGAACUGUUUCUAACAUAAUUCAAAAUAGCAGCUUUGGAAGAUGGCACUUCCUUUUAUAGUUCCUUUUCAGAAAUAAUAAGAGCAGUUUGCUAGAAUCUUGGUCUAACUAAUCACCACAUUACCUUUAAAUGAAGGUUUGCCUCCCAUCAUUAAGUAAUUCACUCAAGGUAACAAGUGAAAUAAAGUCAGAGGGAUAUAGUAGUCUCAGACGUAAGCCUUAUUUUACAAUAAAGAACAGUGUGGUUCGUCUUUCUCCAGAGGUUUGGGGUUUUUUGAUGCUUUCUUGCUUUGUUACAGCUUGCAGAAAGCGAAGAUUACAAUACAUAUCUGCUAAUCAAUAUUAAACUAGUAGAGUAAAAUGUCAGGGAGGAAAAAAAUUGAAAUCAUACUACAUUUCAACACCAACAGAGAAAAUCCCAGCAUUGUUAAAUGGCAGCAAUAAAACUAGCAAUUGUUAUUUAGUUUUAAGUAAUGAACCAAAUAAAAAAUACAGAACUUGCUACAUUGCCUUCCAAAUGGAGCUUAUUACACUGCUGCUUGAAUGUUUGUACAAUCUUUAAUUUAAACAUUUUCUCUUCAGGUCUUAAUAAUAGGCAUGGGUAGUUGUAAUUUACUUCCUCUUCAAAGGCAAAAAAUGAAAGAGGAAAACAAAAUGCUUUAACAACUCACAUGUGAGCAGAAGUAGCUCAUUCAGCCAGAGGAGGCUGGUAGGGCUGAAAGUCAGAGAAUUUCACCCCGCGAUUUAUCUUUCAGCCAGGUAAGGGCAUGAUUAGCAUGUGGGCUCUCCAAAGCUGCUCCCCCAGUGAGAAGGAAGAGCCAUUCAUCACUAUUUACUGGGCCUUUGUUCUGCUGCAAACCCUUGCAGAGAAGACAAAAAAAGCGUAAUUUGUGUUUCUCAAAAGGAUACCAACACGCAACCACAUAGAUGCUUCAAGGAUUUUUUUUUUUAUUAUUAUAUUUUAGUAUAUAAGCAACCAAGGAAAUUAUUUAGAGGUGAAUGUUAAUAUAUUCCACUCCUCAUGGCCCACAGGAUUCUCAAUUCUCAGUUCAGUUUUUUCAUUAUGCAUCCUUUGUUUCUGGAAUUACUGUGAUAGUUUACUGGUUUGAAGGAUUUUACAGUUGCAGUCAUAAAUAGAGGCAAAUCUUAACCUUGAAACUUGAAUGACAAAAUAAUCCUAUUUGAAACAACUCCUGAGUGGCACAUGGAGGGGAAAGAAAUAAAUUAAUUCUUUUUUUUUCCUGUACAUGACUACCUCGAGCUCAAGCUGCUUUUUAAAAUUGAUCAUCUGAUAAAAUACCAAAUUUUAAAAUCCCUGGUUGAUUUUUUAAUGAAAGAACAGAGGUGGGUUAAGGUAUUUAUUCCUGGCCUUGGGACUUGUGAUUGCAUGACCUUCUGUUUCCCCUCUCCUUCUGGGGCACUGGUGCUUGCAUGCAGGCAGAAAUCUUUCUGAAAAGCUUGGAUUCAGAUGCUCACCUGCAAGGAAACUCUCCUGUUCCCAUCUGUACUAAAAAUAGAAUAAAAGAAGAAUGUUGUUAACACGGUAAAAUAAAUCAGGCAGCACAAUACAAUGCCUUGAAAGAAGAUGUUCAAAUAAUGAGGCCCUGACUUGCUGCACCUCAGCAGCCUUUAGAGAAGCUGAGACCUGGCACACACACCCUUCUGUGGGGCAGCUGAGGACACCCUGCACAAACGUGAUGGCCCUUGGGCUGAGAUCCUGAUACACCCCCCAGCUAUUUACAUAUGCAUUAAGGGGUCCUCUUGAGCAUGCUGAUAUAUUUUUCCAGGAUGUUGAGAAAAUUUCUUACGUGAGGAUGUCCUUUGUGAGUAAGGAAAUAUUCAUAGUGAUGCCGAAGCUUAUGACUCGAACCUGCACAUCGACAGCAACCUGCAGUGAGAAGGACAAGAAAGAAUUAAAGGGGUGCUAGCCACAGCAGAUUUCAUCACGGAUAAAUCCCAAUAUGGUUUAAUCACUGCUCAGUUUUAAAUACUUUUCAUGAAAUAUUUGCAUUUUUAUGUCUGUUAAGGGCUUCAGUAGUUACUACCUCUUUGAUUUCCCAAAUUUGCUAUAAUGGUGUUAUGUUUAAAUACAUCUUUAUGUAUAAUGAUCUUUAACAUUGCUGAUCCUGUAUGUAAUGAAUUAGACUUUUCACUGUUGUAAAUAGGACUGAUGUGUGAUUAAUAAACCAAGCCAAAGAGUA